UACGUAGGGCGCAAGCGUUGUCCGGAAUUAUUGGGCGUAAAGAGCUCGUAGGCGGCUUGUCACGUCGGGUGUGAAAGCCCGGGGCUUAACCCCGGGUCUGCAUUCGAUACGGGCUAGCUAGAGUGUGGUAGGGGAGAUCGGAAUUCCUGGUGUAGCGGUGAAAUGCGCAGAUAUCAGGAGGAACACCGAUGGCGAAGGCAGGUCUCUGGGCCACUACUGACGCUGAGAAGCGAAAGCAUGGGGAGCAAACAGG
rnacentral:rRNA from 1 species